rnacentral:rRNA from 1 species
GACGAACGCUGGCGGCGUGCUUAACACAUGCAAGUCGAACGGAAAGGCCCUGCUUUUGCGGGGUGCUCGAGUGGCGAACGGGUGAGUAACACGUGAGUAACCUGCCCUUGACUUUGGGAUAACUUCAGGAAACUGGGGCUAAUACCGGAUAGGAGCUCCUGCUGCAUGGUGGGGGUUGGAAAGUUUCGGCGGUUGGGGAUGGACUCGCGGCUUAUCAGCUUGUUGGUGGGGUAGUGGCUUACCAAGGCUUUGACGGAUAGCCGGCCUGAGAGGGUGACCGGCCACAUUGGGACUGAGAUACGGCCCAGACUCCUACGGGGGGCAGCAGUGGGGAAUAUUGCACAAUGGGCGGAAGCCUGAUGCGGCAACGCCGCGUGCGGGAUGACGGCCUUCGGGUUGUAAACCGCUUUCGCCUGUGACGAAGCGUGAGUGACGGUAAUGGGUAAAGAAGCACCGGCUAACUACGUG